UGUGGCAAUGCCUCAGGAGUUUCAGCGGUGAGCAAGCAGGAUUUUUCCUGAAAACAGGAUCUGUCCUAAGAACUUGUUGAAAAUAUAAUCCUUGAAGUACACAUGGAUUUGUGUACAUUGCAAUGAUUUCAUGGCUCUCUAGAGGUCUUGCUGAUCUAAGAAAAAAAGCAGGUUCUAGCUCUAUCUGUAUCUCUUGUUAGCUAUACAACCUUGGGUAAAUCAUUCUAUAAGCUUUAGUUACCUCUAUUCAGUUACUAAAAAGUGAAGGAACUCUUUGUUUUGCUUACUACAGGAAAUUAUUAAUACAAAGACUAUA